rnacentral:rRNA from 1 species
GACGAACGCUGGCGGCGUGCUUAACACAUGCAAGUCGAACGGAAAGGCCCUGCUUUUGGGGGGUGCUCGAGUGGCGAACGGGUGUGACACACGUGAGUAAUGCGCCCUUGUCUUUGGUAAAACUUCGGGAAACGGGGUCAUAUACCGGAUAGGAGCCUCUCCUGCGGGGUGGGGGGGGGAGAGUUUUGGCGGUUGGGGAUGGACUCGCGGCUUAUCAGCUUGUUGGUGGGGUAGUGGCUUACCAAGGCUUUGACGGGUAGCCGGCCUGAGAGGGUGACCGGCCACAUUGGGACUGAGAUACGGCCCAGACUCCUACGGGAGGCAGCAGUGGGGAAUAUUGCACAAUGGGCGGAAGCCUGAUGCAGCAACGCCGCGUGCGGGAUGACGGCCUUCGGGUUGUAAACCGCUUUCGCCAGUGACGAAGCGAGAGUGACGGUAAUGGGUGAAGAAGCACCGGCUAACUACGUG